AUUGAACGCUGGCGGCAGGCCUAACACAUGCCAGUCGAGCGGAUGAAGGGAGCUUGCUCCUGGAUUCAGCGGCGGACGGGUGAGUAAUGCCUAGGAAUCUGCCUGGUAGUGGGGGAUAACGUCCGGAAACGGGCGCUAAUACCGCAUACGUCCUGAGGGAGAAAGUGGGGGAUCUUCGGACCUCACGCUAUCAGAUGAGCCUAGGUCGGAUUAGCUAGUUGGUGGGGUAAAGGCCUACCAAGGCGACGAUCCGUAACUGGUCUGAGUGGAUGAUCAGUCACACUGGAACUGAGACACGGUCCAGACUCCUACGGGAGGCAGCAGUGGGGAAUAUUGGACAAUGGGCGAAAGCCUGAUCCAGCCAUGCCGCGUGUGUGAAGAAGGUCUUCGGAUUGUAAAGCACUUUAAGUUGGGAGGAAGGGCAGUAAGUUAAUACCUUGCUGUUCUGACGUUACCAACAGAAUAAGCACCGGCUAACUUCGUG
rnacentral:rRNA from 1 species